rnacentral:rRNA from 1 species
UGGGGAAUCCUGCGCAAUGGGCGAAAGCCUGACGCAGCCAUGCCGCGUGGAUGAUGAAGGUCUUAGGAUUGUAAAAUCCUUUCACCGGUGAAGAUAAUGACUGUAGCCGGAGAAGAAGCCCCGGCUAACUUCGUGCCAGCAGCCGCGGUAAUACGAAGGGGGCUAGCGUUGCUCGGAAUUACUGGGCGUAAAGGGAGCGUAGGCGGACAUUUAAGUCAGGGGUGAAAUCCCGGAGCUCAACUCCGGAACCGCCUUUGAUACUGGAUGUCUUGAGUGUGAGAGAGGUGAGUGGAACUCCGAGUGUAGAGGUGAAAUUCGUAGAUAUUCGGAAGAACACCAGUGGCGAAGGCGACUCACUGGCUCAUUACUGACGCUGAGGCUCGAAAGCGUGGGGAGCAAACAGGAUUAGAUACCCUGGUAGUCCACGCCGUAAACGAUGAUUGCUAGUUGUCGGGGAGCUUGCUCUUCGGUGACGCAGCUAACGCAUUAAGCAAUCCGCCUGGGGGAGUACGGUCGCAAGAUU